rnacentral:rRNA from 1 species
GACGAACGCUGGCGGCGUGCUUAACACAUGCAAGUCGAGCGAGAGAACCUCCUUCGGGAGGGACUCUAGCGGCGGACGGGUGAGUAACACGUGGGCAACCUGCCUUAUAGAGAGGAAUAGCCAUCCGAAAGGAUGAUUAAUACCUCAUAAUAUUGUAGCUUCGCAUGGAACAACAAUCAAAGGAGCAAUCCACUAUAAGAUGGGCCCGCGGCGCAUUAGCUAGUCGGUGAGGUAACGGCUCACCAAGGCGACGAUGCGUAGCCGACCUGAGAGGGUGAUCGGCCACAUUGGGACUGGGACACGGCCCAGACUCCUACGGGAGGCAGCAGUGGGGAAUAUUGCACAAUGGGGGAAACCCUGAAGCAGCAACGCCGCGUGAGUGAAGACGGCCUUCGGGUUGUAAAGCUCUGUCUUCAGGGACGAUAAUGACGGUACCUGAGGAGGAAGCCACGGCUAACUACGUGCCAGCAGCCGCGGUAAGAC